rnacentral:rRNA from 1 species
GCAAGUCGAACGAAGUCUUCGGACUUAGUGGCGGACGGGUGAGUAACACGUGGGAACGUGCCUUUAGGUUCGGAAUAACUCAGGGAAACUUGUGCUAAUACCGAAUGUGCCCUUCGGGGGAAAGAUUUAUCGCCUUUAGAGCGGCCCGCGUCUGAUUAGCUAGUUGGUGAGGUAAAGGCUCACCAAGGCGACGAUCAGUAGCUGGUCUGAGAGGAUGAUCAGCCACAUUGGGACUGAGACACGGCCCAAACUCCUACGGGAGGCAGCAGUGGGGAAUCUUGCGCAAUGGGCGAAAGCCUGACGCAGCCAUGCCGCGUGAAUGAUGAAGGUCUUAGGAUUGUAAAAUUCUUUCACCGGGGACGAUAAUGACGGUACCCGGAGAAGAAGCCCCGGCUAACUUCGUGCCAGCAGCCGCGGUAAUACGAAGGGGGCUAGCGUUGCUCGGAAUUACUGGGCGUAAAGGGAGCGUAGGCGGACAUUUAAGUCAGGGGUGAAAUCCCGGGGCUCAACCUCGGAAUUGCCUUUGAUACUGGGUGUCUUGAAUGUGAGAGAGGUAUGUGGAACUCCGAGUGUAGAGGUGAAAUUCGUAGAUAUUCGGA